UCGAAGGUGACGGUUCAGACCUCCACAGUGGCUUGUGAUUUUAAGGAACUAAUUUUUCUGUCAAAUUCGGUAGAUCUUCGCUGUUAUAAUUUUGAAACGCUUCUUAUUCUGUCCAAUAUUCCACAGUUUGUUGAGUUUCAUUAGAGUUGAAAGUAAAUGUCACCCGUAUUCGUCGUCAUUGAAUGCGCUUUCGGUAGCUCGUUUUCCGUGAUACUGAAAUGAUAUUUGGUUCGAGGAUGGCAUUUUGGAAGUCAGUUCGUUCGAAUGUAAAUCACUCCGUGUUUUUGAUUUUCCAGCCUCACAACUGGUCUGUUACAAACUUUUGAGUCGCAUAAGUCAAUAUUUUUUUGGUCUCCAACCUUCGUCAAGGCGGUGCGCAAAGACGGAAAAUGUUCACCCUGCACCAGAACCGUUCCUGGAUUUACAGAUCAUCACUUCAUCACGGUAAAAUCUCUCCAACUCUCAGAAUGAAUGGCGAACGAACCGACUAUUUGUCUAUUCUCUCAAUUUUUCGAAGUGAGCUUUUGUAGUAUACCUUCAGGAGCACUGUGCCGGGUUAUUUACAAUGUUUGUUGUUUUGCGCUGAAACACUCAUUUUCUGACUGUUGCGUGGUUUUUAUCGUCUCCUGAAAAAAUGUCAUUAUUCCGAGAUGGGUCGUUUUCGAAUUAAAUUCUCUCUGAUAUUCUGUCUUAGUAGACCCGAAAAAUUGGAGAACGGAAUGUCUUGAAAGUAAGAAAUUCUCAGAUUUUGCAAAAGCGCAUACUUUUUGAAUUUAACGGCAGCAUUUAGUUAUAUUUUCUAUCAAAUGAAAUGAAUCGUGAGAGUAAUAUAGGCCACAUUUUGGAGUUAGACUAAUUGAGCUUGAAGGCUUCCAUUUAUGAACGUAUCUCAAUCAAAAGGAACUGUCUUCAUCGUAACCUGGGCUCUGACACUCACAGUCGCACGAAUUAAAGCAUAGCGGGCUCUUGUCACAAUGGAAAUACUUUCUUUUGAUUCAAAUAUGUCCACCUAUGAACGAGUCCGAGGAAAAUUAUAAAGACCUUCCUCAAAGUAACGUUAACCAAUUCCCCGCAAUGGCGGCGAAAGGGAGGGAAAAAUUCAAAUGUAUUCAGCAUCAUACACCAAACAGGGUUACACAAAUUGCAUUGAUGAAAAACUAAGCAGGUUGCAUACCCUCCAAAUUGCAGGGUAUUUUUGGAACUUGCAAAAAUCAAAAUUAAGGCCGCAAUUAUUAAGUGAAUCCAAACUUGAAAAAGAGGGAUGAAAAGCAAUAAACAGGUGAAUCUCAAAAACUGAUUAAAUUGACCUCUUUUAAGUAAGGGGCUUGGAGGACACUUGCAAAAAGUGCUGUUUUUACUAGUUCAAGAAAUACGUGUUUCAUUGUUCAAAAUUACAUGGAGCCUCGUAGCGAAUAGAGAGUUGAAACUCAUUUUUUGAUGCUGGAAAAUUAGAUUUUAGCAGUGAAUUUUUCACAGGGUAUAUUUUGGAGACUAGUUUUAGUUGAAAUCAUUAAUAUUUUAAUUUUUUCAUGAAUUGCACAUUUCCCACUUAUCUGCCACACCCGUCACAACAAUUCGUUUGAUGGACUAGGGUUUACUAUUUGAAUAUUGCGCUAUUUAAAAGGUCGACACGGGAUUAUUUUUUUUCUGCCAUAAAAAUCUUGAUUUACUUUGAACGUUACAUUUGAUGACCGUCUAAAUGCCGCGAACUUUUGGCUCCUGCAUGGAUUGCUCAUUUCUUUACAACGCCGAGUGCUUGUCAUGCAUUUGCUAACAUUUACCAGCUGCUUGAAAACUAUUUUCAGAAGUUAAUUACUGUGGCUACUGGAUUUCCUGGUGAUCUUAA